rfam:Gossypium hirsutum cultivar TM-1 unplaced genomic scaffold scaffold458.1, whole genome shotgun sequence
GUGCCGUGCGGUGAGCAUAGAGCGAACUAUUCUUUCGCCUUUUACUAAAGAAUACCGUGUGCUCGCCGUCCAGACUGGCAUACGCUUAUUUUUGGAGGCUUAAUUCUUUCAUUAGAAU